CGAUUCCUAAAGCAGAAGACCUAGAAAUGUUUGAGCCAGACUCUUUUUUUUUUUUUUUUCAGGGCUUAAAAUUUGAGUCCUCAGUGAACCAGGGGAAGAAAGAAUAAUGAAGUGCUUGAGAGUUUUCCUAGUGGUCCUGUGGCUUCAGUUAACCUGGGUGACGAGUCAACAGAAGGGUGUGGAGCAGAGUCUUGUAUCUCUGACAGUUCUGGAGGGAGACACUGCCUCUCUCAACUGUAGUUACAGUGACAGUACUUCCCAGUACUUCGCGUGGUACGGACAGUAUUCUGGGAAAGGCCCCGAGUUGCUGAUGUACAUGUACUCCGAUGGUGAAAAAGAAGAAGGAAGAUUUACAGGGCUGCUCACUAAAGCAAGCCGGUCUCUCUCCCUGCUCAUCAGAGACUCCCAGCACGGCGACUCUGCUACCUACCUCUGUGCAGUGAGCGCACAGUGCUCCCCUGGCCCCUGCUGUCUGUACUCAAACCCACUGCUGCCCCAGCAAGGCCUGAUGUAGAGCCUAGGCUGCAGGGAAGAGAGAUUCUGCUCGCUCUCUAGAUGCAAAUGGGAAUUAAGAGCAUUCUCCAUAACCAUAGAAUGUCCCAUACCCACGGGCAGGGCGGGGGAGCAUGGAAGGGCUUCAGAUUUCAUGAGAAGGAUCUCUGAGCAAGUACCUAAAAGGAUUCUACACACGGAGGAGUUUUGUUAUGGUGAUUAAAGGCCUUCAUGGAUCAAUUAUCGAAAACAUACGGUAUUGAAGGGGGCACCUGAGUGGCUCAGUUGGUUAAGCGUCUGACUUUGGA